rnacentral:rRNA from 1 species
AACGCGUUAAGCGUGCCGCCUGGGAAGUACGGUCGCAAGACUAAAACUCAAAGAAAUUGACGGGGACCCGCACAAGCGGUGGAGUAUGUGGCUUAAUUCGAUGCAACGCGAAGAACCUUACCUGGGCUUGACAUGCAUCUCUAAGCGCGUGAAAGCGCGUGACCCUUCGGGGGAUUUGCACAGGUGCUGCAUGGCCGUCGUCAGCUCGUGUCGUGAGAUGUUGGGUUAAGUCCCGCAACGAGCGCAACCCUUGUGAACAGUUGCCAGCGCGUCAUGGCGGGAACUCUGUUCAGACUGCCCAGAUCAACUGGGAGGAAGGUGGGGACGACGUCAGGUCAGUAUGGCCCUUACGCCCAGGGCUGCACACGUACUACAAUGCCCGGCACAAUGAGAACCGAAACCGCGAGGUGGAGGAAAUCUGGAAAACCGGGCCCAGUUCGGAUUGGAGGCUGCAACCCGCCUCCAUGAAGUUGGAAUCGCUAGUAAUGGCGCAUCAGCUACGGCGCCGUGAAUACGUUCCCGGGUCUUGUACACACCGCCCGUCACAUCAUGGAAGCCGGUCGCACCCGAAGUGCCCGCGCCAACCCGCAAGGGGGGCAGGGUCCUAAGGUGUAGCUGGUAACUGGGAUGAAGUCGUAACAAGGUAGCCGUAGGGGAACCUGCGGCUGGAUCACCUCCUUUCUACGGAGAAA